GUGUCAGCAGCCGCGGUAAUACAGAGGGUGCAAGCGUUGUUCGGAAUUAUUGGGCGUAAAGGGAGUGUAGGCGGUUUGUUAAGUCUUCUGUGAAAUCUACGGGCUUAGCCUGUAACGUGCAGAGGAAACUAGCAGGCUUGAGUGUCGGAGAGGAUAGGGGAAUUCCCGGUGUAGAGGUGAAAUUCGUAGAGAUCGGGAGGAACACCAGUGGCGAAGGCGCCUAUCUGGCUGACAACUGACGCUGAGACUCGAAAGCAUGGGGAGCAAACAGGAUUAGAUACCCUGGUAGUCC
rnacentral:rRNA from 1 species